UCCAAUUCUUCCAAAUCCAUUGAUGGCUACCUUCAAUUUUGCCUCCACUACUCUACUAUUAUUAUUAUUAUUCUUUCCAGCUCCACUAAUAACAGAGGUUUGGUAAGCAACAAGAGAUAGCAAGUCAACGUUAGUUUUCCAUCCCACUCCGAAUGGAACGGCAGAUGAGGUUCGAAGGCCAGUGAACUCUGAGAAUGAUCCUUUAUUCUUGCUGACGUGGACAGAAGAAUUGGCU
rnacentral:misc_RNA from 1 species